AAGGUAUUCCUGGUUAUUUUUGUUGUUCAGACUUGUGCAGACUCAAAUUAUCCACGCUUUUAAAUUUUUUUCCUCCUUUCUUUCUCUUUCUCUUUCCACUUCAAAAGCGGAACUACCUCUGGAGUUUCCAGAUGGCACGACUCCAGUUACUUGCCGUGUAUCAAUAUAUGAUAGCUCUACUGGCAGUAAAGUUGGCGUUGGAUCUAUGAUGGACAAGGCCUGUACUCCUCCUCUGCCUACUGGCAGCAUCAAUAUAUGACAGCUCUACUGGCAGUAAAGUUGGCGUUGGAUCUAUGAUGGACAAGGCCUGUACUCCUCCUCUGCCUGCUGGCAGCCUCUACAUGGAAGAAGUGCAUGUAAAGGUUUAUUUUGGUCCUUCUCAUGUCCGCACUGAAUUUUUUUUGCAGUCUCUUCUAAUGUUAUAUGUGAUUUGUUAUUGAAUAAUGUAUUAAUAAAAAAGUCUAGUCCUCCUACUUCAAGCUGCAUCUCUUAGUUGUUUUUCAUGGAGAAAACUCUUUAGAAUGUCCCCUUUGCGCUUUUUUGGUGCUUUUCAUUACAUAGAGCUGAUCCUUAAGUAAGUUAACGUCUGGAAAUUAUUAGUUUUAGCUUAGAUUUAAUUUGCUUAAAUUUGUCCGUUCACAGCUCUCUUUGCCAGGAGAACUGUUUAGCUUCUUCAUGAUUUCGUGUUGCUUUUCCC
rnacentral:lncRNA from 1 species